rnacentral:rRNA from 1 species
CCCUUAGAUGUUCUGGGCUGCACGCGUGUUACAAUCGGGAGUACAACAAGAUUGCAAAUCCUAGUGGAUGAGUGGUUCUUCGAAAUUUUCUGAAGACUGGGAUAGUUGAUUGAAAUUAUUCAACUCGAACGAGGAAUUCCUUGUAAUUGUAAUUCAUUAUAUUGUAAUGAAUACGUCCCUGCCCUUUGUACACACCGCCCGUCGCUCCUACCGAUUGAACGAUCCGGUGAAUUAUUUGGAGUAGCUCUGGAAGUUGCAGAACUUCCUAUGUCACGAAAUUUUGUAAACCUUAUCGUUUAGAGGAAGGAAAAGGCGUAACA